GACGAACGCUGGCGGCGUGCUUAACACAUGCAAGUCGAACGGAAAGGCCCUGCUUGCAGGGUGCUCGAGUGGCGAACGGGUGAGUAACACGCGGGUGAUCUGCCCCUUUCUUUGGGUUAAGCCUGGGCAACUGGGUCUAAUACUGGACAGAACCAUGCUGUAAGCGGUGUGGUGGAUAGAUUAGUUUCGGUAAGGGAUGAGCUCGGGGCGGAUCCGCUCCUUGGUGGGGUAAUGGCCUACCAAGGCGUCGACGGGUCGACGGCCGGUGAGGGAGGACGACCACAUUGAGACUGAUACACGACCCAGACGCCUGCAGGAGGCAGCAGUGGGGAAUAUUGCACAAUAGGAGCAAGCCGGAUGCAGCGACGCCGCUCGGAGGAUGACGGCCUUCGAGUUGUAAACACCUUACAUCCAUGACGAAGCGCUUGUGGUGACGGUAGUGGUAGAAGAAGCACCGGCUAACUACGUG
rnacentral:rRNA from 1 species